UGUAAGCGUAUACCAAAGUUGUUGCAGUUAAAACGCUCGUAGUCGGAAUUUGGCAGUUCCGGAUGUGUGCACGUCGUGUGCGCACUUCGCGGGGAUUGCUUUUGUGGUCUUGCGUAGGAUGAGGCACUUUUAUUAGUGAACGUCCUCACGCAACCACUUUUUACUGUGAGAAAAUCAGAGUGCUCAAAGCAGGCAUUUGCCGUGAAUGUAUUAGCAUGGAAUAAUAGAAUAGGACUUGGUUCUAUAUUGUUGGUUUGUUGGGACUGAGUAAUGAUUAAGAGGGACAGUUGGGGGCAUUUGUAUUUCGGUGCUAGAGGUGAAAUUCUUAGAUUACCGAAAGACAAACUGCUGCGAAAGCGUCUGCCAAGGAUGUUUUCAUUGA
rnacentral:rRNA from 1 species